AUUGAACGCUGGCGGCAGGCCUAACACAUGCAAGUCGAGCGGAUGAAGGGAGCUUGCUCCUGGAUUCAGCGGCGGACGGGUGAGUAAUGCCUAGGAAUCUGCCUGGUAGUGGGGGAUAACGUCUGGAAACGGGCGCUAAUACCGCAUACGUCCUGAGGGAGAAAGUGGGGGAUCCUCGGACCUCACGCUAUCAGAUGAGCCUAGGUCGGAUUAGCUAGUUGGUGGGGUAAAGGCCUACCAAGGCGACGAUCCGUAACUGGUCUGAGAGGAUGAUCAGUCACACUGGAACUGAGACACGGUCCAGACUCCUACGGGAGGCAGCAGUGGGGAAUAUUGGACAAUGGGCGAAAGCCUGAUCCAGCCAUGCCGCGUGUGUGAAGAAGGUCUUCGGAUUGUAAAGCACUUUAAGUUGGGAGGAAGGGCAGUAAGUUAAUACCUUGCUGUUUUGACGUUACCAACAGAAUAAGCACCGGCUAACUUCGUG
rnacentral:rRNA from 1 species